GGCACUGCCCAAUUUAGUAGAACAACAAAUUUUGCUGCCCAGUUCUACUAACAUUGAGAAAAACAGAUUUUUCAAAGUAGUGAGAAAAUAGAAGGAGAUCUAUGCUGCCCAGUUGCUGCGAACCUGUAUUUACGUAAAAAGUAAGACCCACUUGGUUUCGUUGUUGAGGUAAAUGGAGAAAGAGAAAGAAGAUGCAUCCCGCAUAACAGCUCCUAUCACCAAUCCAUCAACGCAAGACAUAUCAAGACCACUGUAUCCAAAUUACAUGCCAAGUUACUACGGGCCAGUACCUCAUGCGUGGUUACCACCUUUUGUGCAUCCUCCAAGUGCCAGCCCAUAUCCAUGGAGU